rnacentral:lncRNA from 10 species
UUUCAUUACAAGAAAGAGAAGUAGGAGUUCUUCUCGCAGUCCCGCUGGGCCAGCACCUCGCUCUUGAGCGGGGACGAACUCUCGGACACGGGCGUGUCGGCCGGCGAGAUCCGCCUCCGCUUGGCCUGCUCGUAAAUCCCCGAGUCGCUGGAGUCGAUGGACUUGAUCGAGGAGGGCGUCUCGAUCCAGCUGGAAUCGGACAGGUCCUUGGGCUUGGCGUCCUCGGCGGCGCCGGGCGGCAGCGGCGAGCGCUCGGCGGCCAGGCCCUCGGCCUCCUCGCCCAGAUUGUUUCAGAAACCCCUAGGAAAAAGCCGCGCACGCAGUAAUCAUGAAAGACUGGCCUUCACCCGUGUUCUGGAACCCGAGGUUUGCUGCUGGAAGCCUCCAAAGUACUUAGUGUCUAUUGUUUCCCCUGUGUGAAACUUUCACUCCCACCUCUACUAAUACAAACAAGAAUUACUACUCUGAAA